rnacentral:rRNA from 1 species
GACGAACGCUGGCGGCGUGCUUAACACAUGCAAGUCGAGCGGUAAGGCCCUUUCGGGGUACGACGAGCGGCGAACGGGUAGGAGUAACACGUGGGUGGACCUCGCCCUCCAGCUCUGGGAGUAAGCCUGGGAAACGUAGGGUCGUAAUACCGGAUAUGACUCCAUGACGCAUGUUGUGGGGUGGAAAGCCUUGUGCGGCUGAGGAUGGGCCCGCGGCCUAUCAGCUUGUUGGUGGGGUGAGGCCUACCAAGGCGACGACGGGUAGCCGGCCUGAGAGGGCGACCGGCCACACUGGGACUGAGACACGGCCCAGACUCCUACGGGAGGCAGCAGUGGGGAAUCUUGCGCAAUGGGCGAAAGCCUGACGCAGCGACGCCGCGUGAGGGAUGACAGCCUUC